rnacentral:ribozyme from 1 species
AGGAAUAAUAAAAUAGUAAUAUUAGGAACGAGAAUAGAUAAUGUGGUCGCUCUGAGCUCUGACCGGGUAUCGAUGUGUGCAGAGCUUUUUUUUUUUUUUUUUUUUUUUU